UUGGUUUUUGCAAAUUUUGCGCCUAUGGCGCAAUGGGAAGUCAGGUGCAGAUCCUGCGCAGUCCUUGCUGCCGUGAUGCGGAGCGUAUUUCAUUAUGUCACUGAGUGAUCGGGAAGGCGGAAUAUGCAAUGAAGCUCAGCCGGAAGACCGGUUUGCAAAA
rnacentral:ncRNA from 1 species